AGAGUUUGAUCCUGGCUCAGGACGAACGCUGGCGGCGUGCCUAAUACAUGCAAGUCGAGCGAAUGAUAGGGAGCUUGCUCCCUUGAUUUAGCGGCGGACGGGUGAGUAACACGUGGGCAACCUACCUGUAAGACUGGGAUAACUUCGGGAAACCGGAGCUAAUACCGGAUAAUUUCUUUUCUCGCAUGAGAAGAGAUGGAAAGACGGUUUCGGCUGUCACUUACAGAUGGGCCCGCGGCGCAUUAGCUAGUUGGUGAGGUAAUGGCUCACCAAGGCCACGAUGCGUAGCCGACCUGAGAGGGUGAUCGGCCACACUGGGACUGAGACACGGCCCAGACUCCUACGGGAGGCAGCAGUAGGGAAUCUUCCGCAAUGGACGAAAGUCUGACGGAGCAACGCCGCGUGAACGAAGAAGGCCUUCGGGUCGUAAAGUUCUGUUGUUAGGGAAGAACAAGUACCAGAGUAACUGCUGGUACCUUGACGGUACCUAACCAGAAAGCCACGGCUAACUACGUGCCAGCAGCCGCGGUAAUACGUAGGUGGCAAGCGUUGUCCGGAAUUAUUGGGCGUAAAGCGCGCGCAGGUGGUUCCUUAAGUCUGAUGUGAAAGCCCACGGCUCAACCGUGGAGGGUCAUUGGAAACUGGGGAACUUGAGUGCAGAAGAGGAAAGUGGAAUUCCAAGUGUAGCGGUGAAAUGCGUAGAGAUUUGGAGGAACACCAGUGGCGAAGGCGACUUUCUGGUCUGUAACUGACACUGAGGCGCGAAAGCGUGGGGAGCGAACAGGAUUAGAUACCCUGGUAGUCCACGCCGUAAACGAUGAGUGCUAAGUGUUAGAGGGUUUCCGCCCUUUAGUGCUGCAGCUAACGCAUUAAGCACUCCGCCUGGGGAGUACGGCCGCAAGGCUGAAACUCAAAGGAAUUGACGG
rnacentral:rRNA from 1 species